UUCUUCGGAAAAGGCCCAAAUAGCCCCCGAUACUUAGGACAAGGUCUAUAUAUAACCCUGUUAAAAGUUUGGCCUAUCACCAACCUUGCCGUUACACUAUUGGCUUGGAUAUCCCUUUCUUUUAAACGGUUGCCACAGUAAAUAAGUUAUUCACUCAAAAUAUAACAUGUAGAAAUUAAUAUACACAUAAUCAUUUUAUUUUAACGCCCAACCCAACCCAUUAACCCUACCCGUUACCCAACCCGUAAAACAUUACCCCUCUCUUAAUUAACCAUACCCUUUUCUUCUCAAAUCAGCUUUUCUUCUCAAUCUCAACAAGGAGCUCACAGAGCUGGUGCUAAUUCCGGUGCAAAUCUGGACGAAGUAUUCCUACCAUCUUUCACCAUUCAAUUCCCAAAAUAUAAGUCAGGGAUCUUCGAGUUCAUCAUAUGGUUCGAGAAGGAAAUGUUGUUGUGGAGUUGCUGCUAGCCAAUUCACUGAUUGGACUCCAAAUAAUGUCGGCAGACGAUUUAACAAGUGUUCAAUGCCUAAGGGACAGAAAUGUAAGUUUUGGGAAUGGGUAGAUGAUGAACUUCCUCUUAGAGUUAUAUCACUGAUCAGUAACUUAAAGAAUGAAAAUGAAGCUCUUAGAUGAGAAAGGAAUCUUUUGCCGAUGAAGGUUGUCGAGAUUGAAAGCGUCUUAGCAGGGGAUGUUGCAAAAGUUGAAGAUUUCAAGGAAUUAGAUGAUGUUAAAGGAGACAAUGAUGUUUCUAAGGAAAAAAUUGAUGGAGGUUUAGUGUUUGUGAAGGAAAGUAAUCAGAAAAAAUGGAAUGUCAUUGCUAUGGUACGGUGUUGCUUCGUUGGGUUUAUGUGUGCUUGGAUGAUGAAAUAGCUAACUUAAGAUCAACCAAAGUUUAGGUGUAUUUGACAUAUUUAAGUGAUUAUGUAACCUAUGUUCAAACAAGGUUUAUGUAUAACUGAUAUAAUUAAGGUUUAAUUUAUGUUUUAUGUUUUGGAAUGAGGUUUA